ensembl:lncRNA
GACCAAGACGAACCAAAAGACCUGAGGUAACGGGCAAUUGGGAAGCCCAGGGGGGUUUAUACGAUGUGACAAACACUGCGGCAAACCGCUCCCAGGGGCGCUUUCAUGAGUCUCUAGAUAGGUCAUCGGCAGAUGGAUCGCAAGCCCAAUCAAGGGGGUCUUUUCUGGGGACCAGGAGGAAUACGGUGGGCUGGUCAACAAAGAGUGGACCUGAAAGCUUAGACUAUGAAUCUAAGAGGAAAUUUAAUCAUACUGUGUCUUUGGAUGUCAACUCUGGAAGGAUGAACAGUAGACAAAUGUAUGCAGGUGCUGUAAGUCCUGUUCACACAGCUGCAACCCCUGUGUCUCCCCUCUCCUUCGAAAUACACGAACAAAGGACGAACCCUGGUCAUCAAGGAGGAUUGUCCCCAAGCUCGAAACCGACAACCAGCAGAAUGCUUCUCUCUUUAAGAAGAUGCAAUUCAAAUAGCAGGAUCAAUAAUGCUGCCUCCCCCACCCCUGAGAUGAAUCCUUCGCCACGUCAUCAAGAUGGAAAAUUAUUCACAACACACCUCUCUCAAACUUUCCUGAAUAAUAACGGGCAGGAGAGGUCAAAGCCUCUCCUCUCUCCAUCGGGGAAUUCUAAUAGGACAACUGAAACCGGGCCAAUCAUUUCCCCAUCAUCCUCCAACCACAGAGAAAGGAACACAUUUGGAACUCGCUUCUUUUCGACUUCACCCACGAGCAAAAACACAGAAGACACACCCUUUUCCCAACAAGCUGAAACAAUGACUAGUAGGACCCAGUCCAGUCUUUCAUGUUUCCAACACCCAACACCGAUGCGAGAGCCAACAGAGAACUGCAGGUGUUCAGACAAAAGUACAAAUGUAUUCUCUGAGAGCUCUGCCUAUUCACCAAAACAUUCCCCAUUUGACCGGUCUUCCCUCCUAAAUACCCAUUCCCUCCCCAGAAGGACCAACCUGACAGCCACCUCCUGGUGGAAACAAGUUGCCCCGGAAUGUAAUUCCAAUCAAACUGUCAAUGAUACAACAAACAUCAAAGAAAAGUUAAACACACCCUCUGUUCCACCCUACAAUGAUAAUCGAGACCUAGCCUCUGCGUGUCCAACUGACAACAAAAGAUGUGUUAGUCAAAUCCACAAUAACCGAGACAACAAUAACACAACAGAGUCAGUCGGCCAUGGUAACAUGAACCGUAUUAUGACAAAACAGGGAGGAACUGACAACAUCAAACCAAGAAUAGGUGAGGAUUCACCUGGACGUGGGUCAGACAGGAUGGUCAAACAGCAAUAUAGCUCCAAUCUGAACAACAGAGACGCACAAAAGCCUCACAGUUUGCCGGAUGUUUUUCUCAGUUCUAUAAUUAGCAAAGCUACAAAGCAAACAACGCUGAAUCAUCCUCCUAAAGAUCUCAGCAGCCAUGACUCAAAUACUACCCCAUUUACAGCAAACAAAACUUUGCUAAAUCCCAAGAGCUCAAAUACACCCACCAAGAGCAGCAGCAGCUACACUCAAUGCGCAUCCAAAACCAACAGCUCCCCCGCAUCUUCACACAAACAUGACUCUCAAAAAUUUGGCAAACCACCUCUUUCUCUUGUUACCACCAACUCUUCCUGUAUUCAGGCGCCUACUUCUCUCUCUGGUCUUUCCCAAUGCCCAUACACUAAACCUACUUCCUACAUCCACUCUCAUCCAGUUUCUUCACAAACUACUAUUGAUGCUUCACCAUACACUGCCUCUCCUUCCCAAAUUCCCCUUAUCACCAAGAUAACUCAUAACGCACCUCUUCGCUAUGAAAGAAGCAUUGCUUCCGUUCAUAAGCCUUUCCACCCUAAAACCGUAUCGAGUCCAACAGUUGGUGCUUACUCUAAGACCAACUACAGUACAGCAUCCACUGCUUCUCCCAGCUAUUCGUUUGCCUCUGGCAGCCGUCAUGUAGCAAUAACUGCUCCUAGAACAUCCCUCCUUACUUCUUCUUCAUCUCCUGGCAUUAUGUCUUCUCCCUCCUCACCCUUAACCCCACCUGCCACGCUUAACAAUAUUACCUCCAACGAUUCAGCCCCUUCCAGUCUCAAGGAGGCAAAGACAUUCUCAAACAGCCCAGAAAACGACCCAGUGAAAAAGCACCGCGUAGAGGGAAAGCGAGUGAGACGAGUCACAUGGGAGGACUCUGUGGAUCUGAAGCAUUCUGAACCUGUGGCAGUCGACGAAGCCGAGCCGGUUCACGUACCAUUGAGCUCAAGCUCCCCGGAAAGCAGCAAAGUUACAUCCAUCGCUUCUUUUCUAAGAUCAAGAAGUCCGACCACAAGCGCAGCUCAUUUUUGCUCCCUCAGCCCCAAAACCUCCAGCAUACACGGGCUGAAAGGGGAAAGGUAUCGCUCUUUGUCAUCUGACUGUGCUGAUUUAGUUUCCAGAGACCAUCAAAGGUCUAAGCAAAGACCGAGUGACACUAGGAUCUUUGACCAGGGAAUGCGGGAUGUGACAACACCCAGACAGGAGAGGACUCUCUCAGUGGAUUCUGACACCCUUCAGUGCCGUUCUUCUGCUCCUCUCUCCCUCCCUCCUGACUUUUCAAGUUGUUAUAAGCUUCGCUACAGCUCUCCACCAUACUCCACUCUCAUUUCUACCAGGCCAACACAGGGAGAAACUAAGACUAUGUUAUCCAGAUCACCCCUCUUCCAACAGUCUCAAUCAAAUUAUACUCCACACCUUUCUAGAUGCACUGAUUCAGUGGCAGACAUGACCGUGCCCACAUCCAAACCUCCUCUCUCACCUAUCGGCCUGCCUCUCCAAAACCAAACUACCACCCGAGGAAGUACAAAAGGGGGGGUUUCAGAUACUGAUCAAGUCAAUAAUAACCACAGCAAGAGCAACAGGCAAGAUUUCCAGAAUGGCCAGUUAGUACUUGUCCACAACAGAUUUCAUGAGGCACAUAGCCCCUCCUCAAAAUAUGUAACUGAGACACUAGUCUACACUGUUAAAUCUAAAGAAGAGACAGCUACAGCUGCCCAUUCGCCACAUGACGCAAACACAAAGGCUUCUGUAGAGACCGAGUUAAGUCAACAGUCACACAGAAUGCAAAGUAAGGAAGCAGCAAGAGAACCCCUUUGUCAUUCAGAUCCGAGCCCAAGUGUCAGCCGUUCAAGCUCCAUCGGAAAAGUGAAGGAGAACGUACUGGGUAAAAGUAGAUUUUUUUCAAUGGAGAGCAACAAUGAACAAAGCACAAAGCGAAGCCGGUUUGCACUGAAGAAAAGUGACAGUACACCACACUCCAGUUUGUCAAGAUCACAGUCGGAGACAACCAGCAAGCCUAGUAACAAAAUGGACCAGGUGUUCAGCAGACUAAAACAAAAAUUCAGCACUAGACUGUCUGAUGAGGAUAUGUUUCCAUGGAAAUGGAAGCGAGUUUCUCAAACAACUUCAGCUGGUGGAUCAGGUGAUGUCAGUGACAACACCGUGGAGAGCAACCAAAAGCUUGAGGAGCAGGAGAAAGGGAUGUUGAUCAAAGACGAUGAGAAGGGAACAGAUUGUACUGAUAGAUGGAAAACAAACCGAUACAGUCUCAUACCACCCUCAGUGGCAGGAGAGGAGCUGUACAGUUGGUCAGACCAAACCACUCCAGAAACUGACCGAGACAAACAAACUGCAUAUCCAGAAUACACCGAAAGUCAAAACCAUCCUCAUUUGACAAUAACUAGCCCAACAACAAAGCAGUUAGACUUUUACAAAGACAAUGUAACAGAUUCUAAACCAUCAAACCUGUUCCUCUAUUGUAGCAGUCAAAGUCCUGGUAGGAGCCCUAAAUCCUCUGCCGACUCUCCCACUCAGCUCAGCAAGUCUACAUCCAGCCCCAGGAGCCCCUUCUCCCCAUUUCCUUCUCUUUCCCCUGUCUCCCAACUUACCUCAACGGAUGACAAUGUCUUCUUCAGCCCUAAGCUGCACCGUCACCGAGAAUCCCCCUCACUGUGUGAGCCGGGGGAGGGAAUCCGCCUGGGGGCUUCGAGAAGAAGCCGGGCAUCCACAGGUCCUCCAAGUGCAGGUCCAGGACCGGACAAUGAACGCUUGGCGUCCUCCUAUGCAGACUUAAAGUACGGCAUUGAGCCUGGGAGAUCGUUUUCCGUCAGUUCGGUACUGUCCAGGUUCAUGAGUGUUGGUGACCUCUCUGCAUUAACGUGUGGCAAGCCUGGAAAAGAUUUGGAUCAGUGGUCUAUUAAUCCUGAAUGGACCAGUGACUAUGAUUGCCAGUCCAGUAAGGAGUGUCGACAGGCUUGUUUCCCCAGCGACCCAGGUAAGAUGAGAUCCAGAUCUCUUCCUCGAUCACUGACUAGGCGCCUAGCAAAUUGGAGCUCAGAAGCCUUUGCUUCCCAACCUGCAACAAGCACCACCUCUAAGGCUGCUCGCCUAUGGAGCCCCAACAAGAACACGUGUCACUUUGCAUAUGAUACAGAGGGGCCUCCGACACCUCCUCCAACCCCGCCCCUAUCACCAGUGUCCAGACGCAUGUCCAAACCUCCCCGCCUUUCCUCCCCCACCGUCCCCGGUGCAUCAGGAGUGUCGCAGCAAGUGGACAACUUGUCCCCCAGAGGGAUUUUGCCGUCGAGAGGUUAUGUAUCCAGCCUUACUACUUUUGACGAGUCCUCAGACAGCAGCUCGGACACGACGACAGACGAUGAAUAUUACUUAGAGACGGGUGAAGAAAAAGAGACUGAAUUGUGA